rnacentral:tRNA from 1 species
GCGCCCGUAGCUCAGUUGGAUAGAGCGUCUGCCUCCGGAGCAGAAGGCCGCAGGUUCAACUCCUGCCGGGCGCA